rnacentral:rRNA from 1 species
UGGGGCAGCAGGUCUGUAGCAAUACAGAUGCUGGCGACCGGCAAACGGGUGCGGAACACGUACACAACCUUCCUUUAAGUGGGGGAUAGCCCGGGGAAACCCGGAUUAAUACCCCGUAAUAUAUUGAAAAGGCAUCUUUUUAAUAUUAUAGCUCCGGCGCUUAAUGAUGGGUGUGCGCCUGAUUAGGUAGUUGGCGGGGUAACGGCCCACCAAGCCUUCGAUCAGUAACUGGUGUGAGAGCACGACCAGUCACACGGGCACUGAGACACGGGCCCGACUCCUACGGGAGGCAGCAGUAAGGAAUAUUGGUCAAUGGACGCAAGUCUGAACCAGCCAUGCCGCGUGGAGGAUGAAGGUCCUCUGGAUUGUAAACUUCUUUUAUCUGGGACGAAAAAGGGUCUUUCUAGACCACCUGACGGUACCAGAUGAAUAAGCACCGGCUAACUCCGUGCCAGCAGCCGCGGUAAUACGGAGGGUGC